UGGGGAAUAUUGCACAAUGGGCGCAAGCCUGAUGCAGCGACGCCGCGUGCGGGAUGGAGGCCUUCGGGUUGUAAACCGCUUUUGUUCAAGGG
rnacentral:rRNA from 1 species